rnacentral:rRNA from 1 species
UGGUGCAUGGUUGUCGUCAGCUCGUGUCGUGAGAUGUUGGUUAAGUCCCGCAACGAGCGCAACCCCUACGUUUAGUUGCUAACGCGUGAAGGCGAGCACUCUAGACGAACUGCCGUUGACAAAACGGAGGAAGGUGGGGAUGACGUCAAAUCAUCAUGCCCCUUAUGUUCUGGGCUACACACGUGCUACAAUGGCCGGUACAGACGGACGCAAAGCCGCGAGGUGGAGCAAAUCUCAGAAAACCGGUCUCAGUUCGGAUUGGAGUCUGCAACUCGACUCCAUGAAGUUGGAAUCGCUAGUAACCGCGAAUCAGCAGGUCGCGGUGAAUACGUUCCCGGGCCUU